CAAAAUACUGUGUCACAACAAAGGAAGUUUGCGUCUACUGUGAGGAUCUUGAGUUUUUGUUUGUUUGUUUUUGAUUUUGAGACACGGUCUCUGUGACCUAGCCUGGAGUGUACUGGUAUGAUGACAGCUCACUGCAGCCUCAAACUUCUGGGCACAAGCGAUCCUCCUGCCCCAGUGCUCAGGAGUUUGAAGUUGCUGUGAGCUAUGAUUGCACCACUGCAUUCCAGGCUGGGAUUACAGGUGUGAGCUAUGAUCUCACCACUCCUCCCACAUACCUGGCCAAGAUUUUGAGUUUUUUGGAAUUUUUUUUUUUUUUUCCUGAGACGGAGCCUUGCUCUGUCCCCCAGGCUGGAGUGCAGUGGCGCAAUCUCGGCUCACUGCAAGCUAUGCCUCCCGGGUUCACAUCAUUCUCCUGCCUCAGCCUCCCGAGUAGCUGAGACUACAGGCACCCGCCACUACGCCCAGCUAAUUUUUUUUUGUAUUUUUAGUAGAGACGGGGUUUCACCAUGCUAGCCAGGAUGGUCUCGAUCUCCUGACCUCAUGAUCUGCCCGCCUCGGCCUCCCAAAGUGCUGCGAUUACAGGCAUGAGCCACUGUGCCUGGCCCGAUUUUGAGUUUUUAAAGAAAAUUCUCCUCACCAUUCAGCCAGAACGAUUUGUAUUGAAUUGAAUUCUGCACAUGCUAACAUGAUAAACAUGGAGAUAAGUUGACCUUUCAGUGAGGGCCAGAAUUCAGACCUUAUUUUUUUGAGACGGAGUCUCGCUCUGUUGCCAGGCUGGAGUACAAUGGCGUGAUCUUGGCUUGCUGCAACCUCCGCCUCCCUGGUUCAAGCAAUUCUUGUGCCUCAGCCUCCUGAGUAGCUGGGAUUACAGGCACACGCCACCACACCCAGCUAAUUUUUGUAUUUUUAGUAGAGAUGGGGUUUUACCAUGUUGGCCAGGAUGGUCUUGAUCUCCUGACCUCGUGAUCCACCCGCCUUGGCCUCCCAAAGUGCUGGGAUUACAGCUGUGAGCCACCACGCCUGGCCGAAUUCAGACCUUUUGAACAGUAGGAAUGAGUCUUGCAGUAGAGAUGAGUAAGAAGGGCAGUGAGAUGGAGGCUGGGCCUCCCACUUGUGCUCAGGGAAGAGUCUUGUGGCCACCGAGGUGAACAUGUAUCCUGGACUUCUCAUGGGCCUGGGACUCUCUACCCGUACUGAGUACACAAGGGGAUGAGUGGCUUUUUUCACAGAGGGGAGUUUAGCAUUUGUGCGGUGUGAAUUAAAUUAUUAACCUAGAGGAUAUUUCAGCACUUCCUUUUUUGUAAGGUAUCAUUUCCAAAUUUGUGGUGUAGGGCAGUAACACAGGUUAAUGGAAUAAAUCAUAAAGAAUUGGUACCAGUGAAAUGCAGAUAAAUUGUUUAAAAUCUUUUUUUUUUUUUUUUAAGACAGAGUUUUUCGCUCUUGUUGCCUAGGCUGGAGUGCAAUGGUAUGAUCUCGGCUCAUUGCAACCUCCGCUUCCUGGGCUCAAGCGAUUCUCCUGCUUCAGCCUCCCGAGUACCUGGGAUUACAGGUGUGCACUACACCACCGCACCCAGUUAAUUUUGUAUUUUUAGUAGAGACAGGGUUAAUCCAUGUUGGUCAGGCUGGUCUUGAACUCCUGACCUCAGGUGAUCUGCUCACCUCCGCCUCCCAAAGUGCUGGGAUUACAGGUGUGAGCCACCACACCUGGCCCUAAAAUCUUUUUUUCUGAAUUUAAGCUCAGUGUUCAGGUUGAUGAUACAAGUUCUUUUUAAGUUUAAAAAUCAAAUUAAAUGUAUAAGCUUGAAAGCACACGUAACUUAGAGUAAUUAUGUAAAGGCCAAAGUAUUAUUACGAGUCUCACUCUGUUGUCCAGGCUGGAGUGCAGUGGCGUGAUCUUGGCUCACUGCAACCUUGGCCUCUUGGAUUCAAGCCAUUCUCCUGCCUCAGACUCCCCAGUAGCUGGGAUUAAGGAGCCCACCACCAGGCCUGGCUUUGUGUUUUUUGUAGCAACAGAGUUUCACCAUGUUGGCCAGGCUGGUCUCAAACUCCUGAACUCAGGUGAUCCGUCCCGCCUCCGCUUCCCAAAGUGCUGGGAUUAUAGGUGUGAGCCACUGCGCCUGUCCUAAGGCUGAAAUAUUAUUAAUGCUUAUUUCAGAUUUGUCUACUAAAUUUAACAUCACUGUAGAGUUAGAAAAUAAUGUAACAACCCGUCGUUGGUCUCUUAUUUGAACCACAAUGAUUUUAUUCAAAUUCCAACUUCAAAAUGAAUUUAUGUUUUGAAUUUAUAUUAAAAAUUAUCAGAAAAUUUGCAAGAGUACAUAAGUAGUUUAGGUUUAAAAUUUGGCUCAUUUCAUUGAAAUAAUAAUGUAUUAAUGUGGGGGAAGAGAGAAAGAUGAGGACUAUGAUCCUGUCCUUGUCUGCUGUAUUUUAAUAAUUUGACUAAGAUGUGGAUCCAAGUACUGUUUCCACAGUGGCUGGGGAGCCUCGAGCCCAGUGUGAUUGGUGGGGGCUCAGUGUGUACAAAGAUUGUCAGGGUGUGUGGUUUUCUGGAAAACAAAUGGCUUCUUCAAGUCCUUGAUUUUUGGAUACACAGGAUGCAGGGCUGUGUGUAAGGAAAGGCAGCGUUUUCCUCUCUUAGAGCCUCUGACUGACCUGAGGCGCAGGUGUUCCUGGGAGACUGGAGGGUGGGCUCCAUGGGGGUGUCUGGGCCCCACCUGGCAGGGCUCUUGGCAGUGAGCCAGUGGAGGUUGCCUCCCACGUGUGGCUGGCCCUGUAGCCUGGCUCUGGAGAACCUGCAAUUCAGGCUGGAAGAGACUUUGGAGCAGCUGGAGUGUGAGGUCUGCCUGGGUCUGGUGGGGAGUGUUUUUACUUUGCCAGUGAUAGACUGAAAUGCCCUCUUUGAGGACAAGGUGGCUUUUUUUUUUUUUUUAAAUCGGUCUCUGUCUGUCGCCCAGGCUGGGGUACAGUGGCACGAUCUCGGCUCACUGCAACCUCCGCCUCCCGGGUUCAAGUGAUUAUCCUGGCUCAGCCUCCCGAGUAGCUGGGAUUACAGAUGCCCGCCACCAUGCCCGGCUAAUUUUUGUAUUUGUAUUUUAUUUAUUUAUCUAUUAAUCUAUUUUUUGAGAUGGAAUCUUGCUUUGUUGCCCAGGUGGGAGUGCAGUGACGCAGUCUCAGCUCACUGCAGCCUCCGCCUCCUGGGUUCUGGGUUCAAGCAAUUCUUCUGUCUCAGCCUCCCAAGUAGCUGGGACUACAGGUACGUGCCACCAUGCCUGGCUAACUUUUUUUGCAUUUUUAGUAGAGACGGGGUUUCACCAUGUUGGUCAGGCUGGUCAGAACUCCUGACCUCAGGUCAUCUGCCCACCUCGGCCUCCCAAAGUGCUGGGAUUACAGGCGUGAGCUACUGCGCCCGGUCGAGGACAAGGUUCUUAUUUGUCCAAGGGCCUGGUCUGGAGGCUAUGAUUAGUAAAGUGUUUUUUAGGAAGAUCAAUUGGACAGGACAGUUUGGGUUUGUUGUUGCUAUUUUUGUUGCCAUGGUAACAAACUAAGUAUAAUUUAUGAAUAAAAAUAGGCAACUCUUUAACAGUUGUUUAUACUUUGAAAAUGUCAAAUGAAUUUGACACAUUCUGAUCAGUAAGAUCCCAGAAUAUCUAAUAGUCAAAUAUAAAUAGAACAAGUUGAAUUUACUAUUGCCUACAACUAUUUAACGUGCUAAAUUAAAACUCUGUUUAUUUAGAAGAGUGACCCCUGUCCUAUGCCAAAUGAACUCUAUCAGUUCUACCCAGUGGUAAUUCCACACUUUCUUUCUUACGUGGCCUGAAUCCCACACUUUCUUUCUUACGUGGCAUGAAUCCCACACUUUCUUUCUUACGUGGCAUGAAUCCCACACUUACUUUCUUAUGUGGCCUGAAUCCCACACUUUCUUAUGUGGCAUGAAUCCCUCACUUUAUGUGGCAUGAAUCCCUCACUUUCUUUCUUAUGUGGCAGAUUGUGUUUGGUAAUGUCAGAUUUGAAGACUUGUUUAUUAAAUCAGAGACAGUAUCUUCCAAGGUGAAGACUGGAGAGAGAUGAGCCGACAGUCAGUGGCUUCUGGAGCUUUCCAGGUGGAGACUCCAAUAAAUGAAUUGAGGGAACUCACAGUGAUUCUGUCCUACUCAGAAUGCAGAUGGGCAGAACUGAGCUUCCCGGAGAAUCCCAGUACCAGAAAGAAGAAGUAAGAAGGAGGGGGUCCUGGGAAGGAGAUGGCCAAGGGACAUGGCUUGGCAAUCAGGAAGUCUUGGGCAGCCUUUGAGAGGGCUGUUGUCUCCAGGAUAAGGAAGGAGGCUGGACAUAGGGCUGGAGAAUAAGGAAGGAGUGGAGGUAGAAGGAGUGCAUGUAAAGUGGGGACCUUGUAAGGAGAGCAGAGUUGAGAUUAGGGUUAGGAGGAGCGGAAACCUCAUCACUAAGGUGAAGUGGCUGAAGGAACCACCAAGAAAUGGGAGUUGAGGCUGGGUGCGGUGGCUCACGCCUGUGAUCCCAGCACUUUGGGAGGCCGAGGCAGGUGGAUCAUGAGGUCAGGAGAUUGAGACCAUCCUGGUUAACACGGUGAAACCUCAUCUCUACUAAAAAUACAAAAAAUUAGCUGGGCAUGGUGGCGGGCACCUCUAGUCCCAGCUACUUGGGAGGCUGAGGCAGGAGAAUGGCAUGAACCCAGGAGAUUGGAGCUUGCAGUGAGCCGAGAUCGCGCCACUGCACUCCAACCUGGGCGACAGAGCGAGACUCCGUCUCAAAAAAAAAAAAAAAAGAAAGAAAUGGAGUUGAGGCCUGGUCAGCUCUUUGCCGAGUAGACAGCAGACGAUGUCUGAAGGAGGACAGCUCCCAGUGGAAAAGAAAACGAGAUUGUGUUGUUUGAAGAGCUGAGCAGAGCGGGUCGGAACGGAGCUACUAGGAAAGUCUGGUGUGUUUCCGUAUUGAAGGGCUGCAAGGUGGCUGAAAUGCCUUCGUUUUGCGACCUGAAACUCCUGACAAGCUUGUGAGUGGAGCUGAGCCUGGGACACAGGAGUUGGCAUGUGUUGGCAUAAAUAAAGGGAUGUUCAUAGCAGAGGGCAAAUGGCGCUUUGCACUUUGAAAAGUGUUCAGUGUACAAAUCAGUUGCCUUUAAUAACUACUCUGUAUUUAAGCUCCGCCUCCUGGGCUGAGGCAGGAUAAUCACUUGAACCCACAGGGUGAAGGUUGUGGUGAGCUGAGAUGGCGCCACUGUACUCCAGCCUGGGUGACAUAGCAAGACUUUGUCUCAAAACCGAAGAUAUUCAUUUGGCAAAUUGAGAUACAUUGUUAUCACUGAUUUGUAGACACAGAACACAUUGCAGCUAUUUUAGCAUAAUUGUUACUUUAAGUUAAAAACCCAGUAACCAACUUACUUCUGCCUCACCUUAGUGUUUAGUACUUCUUCCAGUGGUAAAACUCUGUGUUCCUUUUAUUUUAUUAUUUAGAGUCUCACUCUGUCACCCAGGCUGGAGUACAGUGGCACCAUCAUAGCUCACUGCAGCCUUGAACUCCUGGACUCAAGCGAUCUUCCCACCUCAGUCUCCCGUGUAGCUGAGAGUACAGGCCUGCAUGGCCAUUCAGGGCUAAUUUAUUUUUUUUUGGACGUGGGGUCUCGCUAUGUUGCCCAGGCUGGUCGCAAAUUCCUGUCCUCAAGCAGUCCCCCCACCUCAGUCUGCCAAAGUGCUGGGAUUACAGGUGCGAGCCACCCUGCCUGGCCUAUACAUGUUUUCAAGUGCUGAUCAUUUAUUAAUAGUGAAGUGAUUGUAGUCAGGCGUGGCUCCCCCAUUUACUGGCAGGUCCCAUUUAGACCUGCGGUUGCAGAAGUACAGCACAGCUCUGUGCAUGAUUGGUGGAAAUAUUCCAGGAGAUGAGGCUGUUACAGUAACAGCAGAUUUUUCCAUUGUGAAAAUGUAACUAUUCCUGCUUUGUUGAAGAGAAAGAUUUUUUUGGAAAAUGAAGAAAAGAGGAUUUCUAAAUUAAGGAAGCUUUUAGUGAAAGCAGUUGGCAUUUGGGUAGUAGUAUUCUUAUCUGUUUAACAUUUUUGUGGGGCUCUUGUUUUCUUUUAUGUUUGGUUUUUGGAGCAAUUUAUAAUAUCUUAAAUAAUGACAGUCAUAGUAAAUCAACCUCCACACUUUUUCAUGAGGAAUUUUUGAAUUUGCUGCUAAAAUGCAGUACAGGAGGGCAUGUUUAAGGCACACAUUACCAUCUCUACAAUGUGAAGCGGGCUUUGAGCACGGAACAAGGUGUUACAGCUGUACCUAGGAAGUGGUGGCAGGGAGACCAGAAAGUACCUCGUGCCAGAGCCACAGCCCCUGCGGCCCUGCUUUCCUCGUGCACGUCAGUUUAGAGUGCACAUUGGGCUUCAAACGCCUCUGCUGAUUUGUUAGGAACAGAGAAGGUGCUCUGCUGAGAAUUCCGUAGAUUUCUAGACAGUAUUUGGUUUUUGCUGCAGUUUGUCAUUUGAGAUGGAAUGCUUGUGUUCUUUGUCCUGUGAAGGGCAUUGGAGUACGACACCGGGGUGAGUCUGCCUCCUUCCCCUCCCUGGGACGUAUGACAGUGUCUGGAGGCACAUUUGGUUGGCAUAGACUGGGAGGACGGGUGCUACUGGCAUCUAGUGGACAGAGGCCAGGGAUGCCACUGAAAAAUCUUACAACGCACAGGACGCAGGAGGGGAGAGCCGCCUGUUGCGUAGCAACCUGGCAGCUGAUAAUAUAAUAAAAGUUGGUUAUGACUCUUGGUCCUACUGGUGGUAAGUUUUAAUAAUUUUUUUUACAGAUGAUUCCUGCUUAAAACCUUUAUGCUACCAAAGCAUCUGUUCAAAUUAUACUUGAAAGCGCCUUUUUUUUUUUUUUUUUUUUUUGAGACAGGGUCUUGCUCUGUUUCCCAGGCUGAAGUGCAGUGGUGUGAUCUUGGCUCAUUGCAGUGUCCACCUCCCGGGUUCAUGCCAUUCUCCUGCCUCAGUCUCCCGAGUAUUUGGGACUACAGGCGCCCACCACCACGCCUGGGUAAUUUUUGUAUUUUUAGUAGAGAUGGGGUUUCACCAUGUUAGCCAGGAUGGUCUCGAACUCCUGAGCUUGUGAUCCGCCCACCUCGGCCUCCCAAAGUGCUGGGAUUACAGGCGUGAGCCACCGGACGUGGCCUCAAGUACUUUUUUGAAACUGGUUGUAGGGAAUAGUUUGACAAAUCGGCUAGUUGGUUGAACUUGCUUUGCAUAAAGAGACAUCACUAAAUAUAACUCUCCUUAAAGUUGGGGACUUAUUUAAAUCUGAUUCAUUUCUGUGGGGCUGUAUGAUGUUGGUUAAUACUGAAGUCUUGCAACAAAGUCUGGCUUUGUUCCUAAGGAACCUGUCUUUGGAGUCCUUAGAGCUUCUUCGUGAGUCUGUUAAUUCAUAAACUCCAGACCAUUGGCCUGCACGUUGCAUUUGUAAUAAUUUCCAUUCCCACAAGAAACUAGAACAGGAGAAUGAGAGAGCCAGGCUGGGAGAAGGAUGUUUGCGACACUGAAUCCAGUUUAAGUUGUUGGUUUGUUCAAGUGAAGGAAAUGGAAUUUUUAUCAGGGCCCUCUGAACAGGUUUGAAACUUUACUUAGGGAUUUGCCAUUCUGCUUUCUGCCACCUAGUGUUCCUUUCCUGUAGUGCAUCUCUUAACCUGUCCCUUCCUUCCAUUUUUGGUCAGACGUCUCAGGCUUGUAAACAGAUUCCUAGUCUAUACUGAGCUUCAUUACAAAUCU
rnacentral:lncRNA from 1 species